rnacentral:tRNA from 1 species
GUUCUUAUAGUUGAAGUACAACGGUGAUUUUUCAUGUCAUUAGUCGUGGUUAGACUCCAUGUGAGAAUA